UACGAAGGGGGCUAGCGUUGUUCGGAUUUACUGGGCGUAAAGCGCACGUAGGCGGAUCGUUAAGUCGGGGGUGAAAUCCUGGAGCUCAACUCCAGAACUGCCUUCGAUACUGGCGAUCUCGAGUCCGGAAGAGGUGAGUGGAACUCCUAGUGUAGAGGUGGAAUUCGUAGAUAUUAGGAAGAACACCAGUGGCGAAGGCGGCUCACUGGCCCGAUACUGACGCUGAGGCACGAAAGCGUGGGGAGCAAACAGG
rnacentral:rRNA from 1 species